rnacentral:sRNA from 1 species
AGAUGCCCAGACACAUAACGCUUACGAG